rnacentral:rRNA from 1 species
GAUGAACGCUAGCGACAGGCUUAACACAUGCAAGUCGAGGGGCAGCGAGGGCGUAGCAAUACGCCUGUCGGCGACCGGCGCACUGGUGAGUAACACGUAUGCGACCUGCCCCCUACAGGGGUAUAACCCGUAGAAAUGCGGACUAAUCCCCCAUAGUCCCGCGGGCUACAUGGCCUGCGGGGGAAAGGGUUUCCGGUAGGGGAUGGGCAUGCGGCGCAUUAGCUAGUUGGCGGGGCAACGGCCCACCAAGGCGACGAUCGGUAGGGGUUCUGAGAGGAAGGUCCCCCACAUUGGAACUGAGACACGGUCCAAACUCCUACGGGAGGCAGCAGUGAGGAAUAUUGGUCAAUGGGCGAGAGCCUGAACCAGCCAAGUAGCGUGCAGGAUGACGGCCCUAUGGGUUGUAAACUGCUUUUAUGCGGGGAUAAAGUGUGGGACGUGUCCCAUAUUGCAGGUACUGCAUGAAUAAGGACCGGCUAAUUCCGUGCCAGCAG